rnacentral:rRNA from 1 species
UACGUAGGGUGCGAGCGUUAAUCGGAAUUACUGGGCGUAAAGCGUGCGCAGGCGGUUCGCUAAGACAGAUGUGAAAUCCCCCGGGCUUAACCUGGGAACUGCAUUUGUGACUGGCGGGCUAGAGUAUGGCAGAGGGGGGUAGAAUUCCACGUGUAGCAGUGAAAUGCGUAGAGAUGUGGAGGAAUACCGAUGGCGAAGGCAGCCCCCUGGGCCAAUACUGACGCUCAGGUGCGAAAGCGUGGGGAGCAAACAGG